UCCCCCUCUAGCCUUGUGCUGUGUGUUGCCGGGUUGGGCUCAGGCUUGCUGGGACAAGCAGUGUCUGUGAAUGUGAGAGUGAGGUUUUUCCUUCCAGUGUAAAACUGGAACCUGCUGCAACAGCAUAUACAACAAUAGUUCCCCGUAGCAGGCCGGGGAGGGCUAAGGACCAGGUGGAGCGGGGGGCGGAGCAACGACACCGGAAUCUAAACAGGUCCUCUAUUUCUUCCCUCGGGUGGACCAGUAAGGGGGAGAGAGCGUGAAGCCUGGGUACCGGAGACAAAGCCGCAGUACCAGGAAGCACAAGCCCGAGCACCUCACCGACCCCAAUCCCGCAUCCGGAGCACCACCCCUCGACAGCAGUUCCCUGUGCCCCCUUUUCCCCUCUGUCCACUGACACAGCUGCCCGUUAAUAAACCCCUCCUCACGAGCACUGCACGUGACCAUCUCGGCCUCCUUUUGUUACAUUCCCCGUUACACCAGGUGCACCUGCUAUCAGUCUGUCAGUUGGGGUUUGGCCUGAGCACCUGCCUGCCGCAUACAGGUAACAGAUGACGAUCAGCUGGAUAUGUUUUCCCCAAAGGCACGAAAAUGAGUUCUCUGCAAUGUUCUCAAUAUGUAAGUACUCUUGAUACAUGGCCAUUUAGAAUGGAAAUUCACCCUUUUGCACAAGUGGGCUUUCUUUAAUAUCGUGGCAUAUAGUACCGUGGGUUUGAACGAGGUGAGGAAGAACACGCAGGCAGCACUGAUUUUGAACCGUUUAUUGAACGCUGGCACACAAGGAAAGGAUGCUCAUGGUCUGAGGACCCCAUUUCCUCCCUUACCUCCGUCUCAAGCUAGUCUUCCCAGGCUCUUGCCAUACGCUGGCAGACACAGUCACCCCAUCAUUUCCCGCAGAAGUGCCCUCACUGCUUGCACACGUUACUCACAAUGCAGCUGUCUACACAAAACAUCUUCCCGCCUGAACACAGUUACGCAGGUCAUUAUAAUAUUUCAAACUGGCUUUACUUCCUCUGCUUUUGUCGUUAAGUUCUCCAUCUCAAAGUCUAAAUGCGGUAGUUCGGGUCACUGCAGUUCCCCCAUUCCCAUUUUGUAUUUUCUACAAAGAAUUAGUGUCUUUUAAUGACAUGUCAGCAGUUUGUUUUGGCAACACGGUUGCACCCCCAUAGGAGUUACUGUGCAGCAGUUGUUGGUUUACUUUUAAAUUGACUAGAACAUUUUUUUUUUUUUUCUCUUUAGAUGUGUGUAAUCCUUGUUGUUAUCCAAUACAACCCGUGUUCUACCUGUCCUUGGGCUCAUUAUGAAAUAGAUGGAAGAUGUUGCCCAAUGUGUACACCUGGUAAGUCAGUCAUGUUGCAUCCUGUUACAAACUAUAUAUCAAAUUAUUAAAUCGCUGUCACCUUUUCUGAUGAGAGGACAUUGAAACUUUGUUUUUGUUUGAAAGUGGUGAACUGACAAAUGCUUUCCAACAGGAUAUUAUGUUAGCAAUGACUGUACGUCUACCGAUAUCACAAUAUGUCGUCCAUGUACCGUGUCAACUUUCACUGAUGAACUAAACGGCCAUCGUAAUUGCAGUGCUUGUGUAGUCUGUGAGCAAGAUCUUGGUUUAAAGACAGUAAAGGAGUGUAAACCCUUUUCAGACGCAGUGUGCGGAGUCCUGGAAGGGAACUAUUGUACUGAUCCUUAUAAGGGAGGAUGUAGAGCAGCACAGAAACACACAACCUGCAAACCUGGACACUUCAUCAAACACCCUGGAACAGAAUAUAAUGACACCGUGUGUGAGAACUGCACUGAAAACUAUUUCUCAAACGGAUCGUCUCUUUCCUGUACACCCCACACACGCUGUGAAUCCAAAGGACUUCCCACAGUCAAGCCAGGAGACAGCAUGUCUGACUCUGAAUGUGGGGAGAAUAGGGGUCAUAUGAUAGCUGGGAUUGUAGUUGGAAUAUUUUUAGUGUUUUUACUGGUUGGAGGAGGUGUAACACUUUACAAAUUAGGGUUCUGUCCAAAGAAAAACAACUCCAAUCCAUCAGGUAAGACAAUUUUAAUGACUUGUGCAAGCAUAAUAUUAACAUAAAGACAGACCAUUAUUUACUAAUGUUUUCCUCC